CCUACGGGGGGCAGCAGUGGAGAAUAUUGGACAAUGGGGGCAACCCUGAUCCAGCCAUGCCGCGUGUGUGAAGAAGGCCCUCGGGUUGUAAAGCACUUUCAGUGAGGAAGAACGCCUGGUGGUUAAUACCCAUCAGGAAAGACAUCACUCACAGAAGAAGCACCGGCUAACUCCGUGCCAGCAGCCGCGGUAAUACGGAGGGUGCGAGCGUUAAUCGGAAUUACUGGGCGUAAAGCGCGCGUAGGUGGCUUGAUAAGCCGGUUGUGAAAGCCCCGGGCUCAACCUGGGAACGGCAUCCGGAACUGUCAAGCUAGAGUGCAGGAGAGGAAGGUAGAAUUCCCGGUGUAGCGGUGAAAUGCGUAGAGAUCGGGAGGAAUACCAGUGGCGAAGGCGGCCUUCUGGACUGACACUGACACUGAGGUGCGAAAGCGUGGGUAGCAAACAGGAUUAGAUACCCUAGUAGUC
rnacentral:rRNA from 1 species